GUCAACAACAGUCUACUGUCCAUUAACUGCUACCAUAUCAAACACCUAGCAUAUUGAAAACAUUUUAUUGGUUUGUUUUGCAAGUGACUAGGAAUGGGUUUUUUCUCAGUCGGAUGUGUGGCACAGAGAGGGACCAGCAACACAAGCAGACACAGGAGACCAACUCGGGUGGUGAGGCUUCAGUAGCUCAGACGGGUAUGAUGGGGUGAGGCUGUGAAGACCACAGUAGCACAGUGUGUCCAUCUUGUCAUUAGUGUGAGCUCGGACUAGCAGCCAAGGAAGUUCGCAGAGGAAGGUAUAGCAUUGCUUGCUUUUUGCCUUCUGAAGACAGGAUAAAUGGUGCACACAUCGGUUUAUUUGCAAAGAAGAACUUCAGUUUUGUCGUCAUUCAUUUUCAAUUUGUUGAUGGACAUCCAAGCUUUCACAGAGUCUGUUGUGUGUUGUGUGAGUUGGACAGCGAGGUCACACACCAGCAUCUGUGUAUCAUCAGCAGGACCAAGUAGUGGAUGAUGGAAUCGAGUGGUUAGAUGUACACGAUGAGGCACAAGACCAGCCCUGAUGCAUCCCAAACUUUACAGAAGCAGGUAAAGAUGAGGUGUCUACAACUACUACAGACUAGGUGCAAUGUGUAGAACCGGAACAGUGCGAGAAGACUAAAAACAACACGAAGGCAUUGGAGAAGGAUGUUGUGGUCGAGGGUAUCAACCGCCAACAGAUCCAGCUUCGACAGUAAAAUAAUUGUGAUCAUGUCUCAAGCAGAGAACAAGUCAGGGACCACUCGCAGCACACCAGUCUCAGUCGAAUAAUUCUCACGAUAGGCUGACGGAAAAUGAUUCAAGUAGAUUAUUGAUGGAGAAACAAUCGAGGAACUUUUCAAGUACUUUUGACAGGAAAAGGUGGAUCAGAAACGGCGAUAGUUUUUGGGUCAUUAAGGUUGAAGCUGGAGUGUGUGGUGAUGACAGUAUGUUAACGAGGGCACAGCACCAGUCGACACGAAGUGGUUGAUAAUACAAGUGAUGGAAUCAUUAAGUCAAGGCACAUAUGCAGGAGAGACAGAAGAGGGUCGAGAGCAGGGUUUCUUCAGAGAGUUGUGAUGAUCUCUCUUGACUUGAGAUUUGACAGGCACAAACUCCAUUAAAGGCGUUCCAGAGAAAACAUCAAAACUAGGGUUGUGAGACCGUUGGUCCAUCCCUGCCCUGAGAGUAUCGAAUUGCCCCAUAAAGUAUUUGCAAGUGUCCUACAGGCAUUGUAGUAGACAAGGUAGAAGCAAUUGUUUACUCGCCUAACAUAUGGCCCACAAUCGCAGACAAAUUGAUGAACAUUGUUGUAAUUUCCCAUCUGUGUAAUCUUUGAAGAAAUCAUCAAGUGCUUUGUGAUCUUCCAGUGUCGCAGAUACAUUUUUCUGUGAACUGCGAGAUCCAUCUUUUCCCAUCGGCAUUCAACGCCACAUCAACUCUUCUUUUCUUUUUUUUACCCCGGGGUUGAGCCAUGAGGCAGAAGGGAGAUCAGAGACAUAGCAGGUGGAGAGAGAAGCAUGCCUACAAAGGACAGCAGACAGCGAGUAGACACCAUGACCACAGGACAAAGGAUAGCAGAUAGUAAAAGAUUGUCAACAAGCUUAUGAGAAGACAUCAUGAGAGCAGGACAUGACCAAUACAUGGCCAACAUGGCGUCUGGCCCAAAACCAAUCGGUUUCAAAUUGCACCAGGCUCAUGCAGAUGGCAGAGGUGUGGAAUUUGAGGUGGCAAAGAAAGGUGCUUCCGGCUAAAAUGGACUGUCUAGUGCGGUGUAAGGAGAUGAGGCAGCCAUGAUGACUCGGUCUGAAGUGCGAGACUCCCACUCCCCGUCUUGCCACUUGCAAUGUGUGGAGCAAUGAUGGCGGUCUGUGUACAUCCGGUCUGCAGUGUCGUCGCAAUCUUUAUCUGUCACACAAUACCUGAAAGAUGGCGGCUAGUAUUCCCAGAUUCUCCUGACAGACAGAAGGCGGGACGGACAGACACGAAGAGACAAACAACGAAGACGACAGAUCGAGAAAAAUCAGCAAUUGCCAUUCUGUAUUCAGCAAGCAGUCCAUUGUUUACAUUAGUAAAGCAGGAUCAGCACUCUUGGAGAGACAUGUACAGAUUAUGGCUUCAUAAUUAACCAUAGCCAUUGCCGCUGUUGCGAUCCUGAUACGAAACCUGUUGUGCCAUAAAUAGUAUGGACAAUAACCGAGGAAGAGGAGGAGGGAUUAUGUGUCGGAAAUAGCCACAACGACCACGGAGAUGUCAGAAAUUGCAAAAAAAAAAAAAAUAUCAGAAAGAGCCAACAGACCCAAGAACAGAACAUUGACCGAAACGUUGCACUGGAAUCCUGCUCGGGCCAAGGACAACAAAGCCUCAGACACAGGAAACAGAAUGUCCACUUUACUGAGGAGAAUUGGUGUAGGAAAUGCAGAGUCAGUGUUGAAGAAAGUGUAAAUGCGAACGUCAGACGAAGAAUCAUUGUCAGUCGAUAUCGGAGGAAGACAUGGCAUUACAGAAGGACGACGACGAGAAUAAUGAUGAUGUCAAGUUGACCAUCCUAUACUCCCACCCCUGAAUGCCCCCCCACACACCCUACAGGUGGCGGCCAGCAGCAGAGGCGACAUACUUGAUGACACGAACGUUCUGUUAUCGCCGUUCUUAUCCACGCUGUCGCUGGUGGUCUGACGAGGGCUACGGGCCUGAACGAUGACCUAUUUGCCCUGUCACGUUGGCCGGCCCCACACCCCCGCAUAACAUUGGAUAACAAACACCGCCUGAUUCUCGGGGUUUCGACCCACCUCAAAACAGAACAACACUCAACACUUGACCUGAUUACGCCGUCAUCCUCAUGCCCACUCCCCUGGCCCCCCACCUGGCCCUACCGGUGCCCAGAGACCGAAGCUCCAGCAGUGACGCCUGGCGGUAAACAGGCUAAUGGUGUCAAGGCAAGGUCGUUUAGGUCAUCAGGCUUCUGCGACGUGUGACGACGACGACGCCUGUUGGUGCCGCCGCUUGCAAAACGAGGUCACGUAGAUAACACUACAGGGUGUGACGGAACUUGCUCUGACAGUCGAAGCUGUCAUUACACGGACCUUGUGUAGGCCGGUAGGUUGAACUUUUGGAAAAGGAUAAGGGGUGUGGGGUGAAGAGGUUUCGAUUGCAUGAAGACAGGGUGGAGGGUGCGAGGGUGAAAGGGCGUGGGCGUGGAGGGUGCAGGGCAAGGAGUGUCCAUGACUUAACCUAGACGAGGAAUGUCAGACACUUGCUGUAAACAAGUGUGUUUGUGUGAAGUAAUGGUUAGUGUUGCGUGUCAGUAGCAAUCAUACACAAUAAUCUGUCAAUGGCUGUAAUAAAAAAUGUUUUCAAAAUA